GUUUAGAGCCUCGUAGGAGUUUUUCGUGACUUGGCAACUCGAUCUUGGUCCGCGCACAACCCCCUAUCAUUAACAAUACUGACUAGAGAGUAACCAAAACCAAAAAUGGGGUCUUCAAAUAGCAAAUCCCCACUAUAUUUCGAAGAGAAUCAACAGUUCUAUGGUGGGCAUGAAAGCGACAGUCUUCUGCAGCCGCCGCUUCUACCAACGCCGGAGCUUCUCAACCCAGAAGCCAUCCUCUUCUCGAUUUGAACCCUCUUGCACCAUUGCUUGCGAUGUUUUGUUACCAAAUUAGCCAAUGAAGUGUAAGGCGCCAUAUGCAUGAAACUCCUUCGCUAUCUCUUUUGCAGACCAAGUAAGGGCACUUAUAUCUGAGAAAUCUUGUUCGUGGUUGUUAAUAUUCCUGAUAAAAGAUCUUGAAUCUCCCUCGACUAUUAUUGACAGAAAACCUAAAUAUUUAGCAAAUCGAAGUACAUGUAUCACCGCAACUGCUUCUGCUGCAAAGACUAAAAGAAUAGGGUAAGUGAUUUUGCAACAAGCCUCCAUAAUCUCCCCAUUUUCAUCUCAAAUUACAACCCCUACUGCAGCCUUCUUUUGAUUUAAUCUAAACCCAGCAUCAUGUUUAGUUUAACCAAACCUGUAGGUGGUGGAGACUACCGAGCUUGAAAUUGGAGGCUACACCACUGUCCGUAAGGAUCACAAAGACCAACUCCACACAAUAGUUGCGGAUGGAGCUGACAAUCUCACCUACACUCUAGUGUUCCCUUGUGCACCAUAUGAUUCCGAGCAAACUAUAUAGCCCACAUUGUACCACAAAUUUCAUUAUGUUUUGUUGUAUGAUACAUCUUUAGUAUCCAUGAAAGCCACUCAUGGAAAUCCAUUUGAGUACUAGCCACAUGCAAUGGGUAACCCAACAUUACCCACACAUUUCUCGCACUAGCACAAAAUCUUAGCACAUGGUUCACUGUCUCGUGAUCAACAUUACACCUCGAAUAGAUUGGAUUAUUUGUAACACUUCUAUUGUAUAGGCAUGAUCUAGUGGCUACAAAACCAUGAACAAAUUUCCACAAAACUAUUUUGAUUUUUGAGGGACAUCUAGUUGCCCAAAUUUGCUUGAAAAUUUCAUGCCCAAAUGAUAAGGGAGUCGGUGGCUAGAGUAAUAAAUGAUAUCCGCUAUGAACAGAGUAUAUACCCGAGCGUUCAUCACCCCAAAUGAGACAAUCCUCUUGAUGAAUAGACAGUAAAGGAAUACCCUGGAUAAGGAUUGCAUCAUCAUCUACAAAAAGCAAGUUAAUCAAAUCCUGGUUCCAACCUAUUCCAUUCAGAAAAAAAAAGCUUAGACACCCUAUCAAUGUUACCCGAUCUGGGGGUUUGACCUCUUCUAGGCAAAGACCUUGGCACUCAACAACCUCCUAAAUGUUAAUUCUAUCGCCCAUCCCCACAUUCCAUUUAAGCCCUAUCUCAACUAAUUUCCUAGCACUCUAGAUGCUCUUCCAAACGGGUGAUGGAUUGGAGCCCAACUAAGCAAUAAGAGACCUUGUAUUGGGAAAGUAUUUGGCCCUUAGGAUACGCGCCAUCAACAACGUAGGAUGCAUUAAGAUUCUCUACAUCUUCUUUGCUAGUAGGGCUACAUUAAACUUCGUAAGAUCCCUAGACCCCAACCCUCCAUCAUCCUUUAGUUUGCUAAAAAACAACUAACUACAUCAAUGGAUGCCUCUCUUGUUAGCCGCCUUCUGCCACCAAAACUGAGCUAGGGCGCCUUUAAUUUCUUUAUAGAAAGUUUGUGGCAAGAGGAAACACAUCAUUGCGGAAUGUUGGGAUUGCUUGGAGAAUGGAUUAUAUGAAUACCUCUCUUCUACCUAUUAAUAACAGCCUCGUACUCCAAGAAGAUAUUCGACUUCGAAUUUUAUCCCUUAGGUUAGCAAAGGCCCGCUUCUUGUUCCAACCUACCAUACAUGGUAAACCUAAAUAUUUCUCUAAGUUGUCAGCAUGAUGAACCCCCAGAAUUCUCUCCACAUCCAACCUAUUCCUCAUGUCAACAUUUGAACUAAAGAAAACACUGGAUUUUUCAAAAUUGACUAGCUAACCUGAACACUUGGCGUAUGAUUGAAACACCUUUAAGACAUUUGUACGGAUGGAUGAGUUCAUGGGAACUCCUAGUGAUGUGUGUAGCAAAAUUAGGAAAGAUUUUUCUUUUGAUAUAUUGAAAUUGCAUUGUCAUUUAUAAACAUGUGCAUACAAAAUUGUGAAUUCCAAAAUAUUAUAAUGAUGUGUUGAUCUAUAAAAUUGUUACUAUGACUUGCUAUAUGAAUGUGAUUGUUCUAAAGAACUGUCAGUUCGCAUGCUUUAUUACACCGAUUUUCUUGUGAUUUGACUCACACUGAGCUUCUUAAGUUCACCCCCUUUAAUUUCCAUAUUUAUAGAUAACCCACCAGGUUAGGACACGAACACGGCAUCUAGUCGGCUUGGCUCGGAUAGUUUUUAUUUUAUUUAUUUAAAAAUAUUUCAGUUUUACAUUAUAAUUUAUGUUAUCUGGAACUGUAUUGAUUUAUUUGAACUGUAGCAUGGGACUUUAGUUUUGGGUUUAUUUGGCAUGCAUGACAUUUAAUUUGAUUUUAGGAUAUUGAAAUAUGGAUUUUGAAUUAAUUAUGCAUGAAAUGUGGUUUUCCUUAAAACUAUGAUAAAAAUCAUUUUUCCACUGCAUGACUAUGUAGAAGAGGUUUGAAAGAUAUAUAUAACUGGAAUUCAACUUUUGCAAAACAAUCAUUAAAAUUGAUCUGUUUUGAAAUUAAAUUGUACAUUUUGAAAACAAGCAAAUUUUUUCUUCAAAAAUUGAAAGAAAUGUUUUAAACAAACUGUUUUUAAACUCCGAUAAUGUUUCUAGGCCAUUUCAGUGGCCAAUAUAAUCUUUCGAAUUCAGACCUAACGUCUGACCGGGUUGGGGAGGUUACAUAGAUCUAACAAUAAAGAGGGUUUUUUUUUCCUUCUAACAAACAAUGAGAAAAAAAAAGAAAAGAAAGAAGGAUUGAUGGAUUAUCUAAGCAAUAAAAACUUUAUCCUCUACAAAGUUAUCAAUUAUAAUUAGAUUAUGACACGUUCACGAUGUGGAUGAAAAAUAAAAUUAUAUAAAAAUAUAUAUUUAUAAAAAUAUUGAUAUAUAUAUAUAUAAUAAAGUUUUAGUUGAAUGGUAAAGUACAAAUGUGAAAUUUAAAAUGUAUGAAUUUGAAUCCUUUUAUAUGUGUUUUUUUCCUAUCUUUUUAUAUAAAAAUAUAAAAUAACAAAAACAAUCUAAAAAUAAUAUAAUUUAGUUUGUAAAUUGAAGGCAUUUCAUCUUUUUUUUUCAUUUAAGUUGGUAUUCGAUUAACUUGUAAAACCAACUCCAUCAAGAACUUUGUAAUAAGUAUAGUUAAAAGAAUUUAACAAAACAUUCCCCAAUGCUAUAUAAUUUUGACAUUCAAACUAAUAUUAAACUUUUUUUAUUGAUCGAAUCUUAAUUCAGUUGAUAUAAUUUUAUUGAAAUUUUUUGAAGGUUAUAGGUUUGAGUGGAUUUAGGUGUAAAAUGUUUUAAUGUUAUUAUUUAUACUAUUAUUUAAGUAUUUGAUUGAAUUGGUGUCACGAGUCAACUUGGCACCAAUUUGAUUAGAAAAUUAUGAAAAUGUCCUUAUAUAAUUAAACUAAGUUAUAUUAUUUGAGGGUACUUUAGUAAUUUAUUUUUAACAAAAACCAAUGAAAAAUAUGCAUCUUGUGGGAUUUGAAUCCCCGCCAAUUAAAUUUGUAAACUUUAAACUUACCACAUAACCAAAGUUUCAUUUUGAUAAUUUUAUACAUUUUUAUUUUAAUAUGCACAAUUUAUUACCUCCAUCAAUUGUAUAUUUAGUAUUUUUAAUUUAAUGGAUUUAUGUUUUAAAAAUUCGUUUUACUCACAAUUUAAUAUAAUUUUUCAUUUUAAUAUCGUACAUAUUUCAUGUGUUAUUACUUAAUUUGUUUCAAAUCCUACGUUUCAUUAUUUAUUGUAUGUUAUUUUUAAACAUUUUUUUGUCUUCUAAAUACGUGAUUUCCAUAGGCAUACGCGUGUGAUAAAAUUUCUAAUAAUCAAUUAGGAAUUUGAGAUUAACCUUAGAUUAAAAAUGUAUAAACAAAUUGGGAUAAGGUAAUAUUUAGUCCCUGAACUUUUUUUUUGUCCAUAUUAAUCCUUAAACUUGGCAACUUUUCUCGUUUUUGGUUCAUAUGAUGAUGUCACACUUUAAUAUUAUGUCAUGUCAUCAUCUAAAAUUUUUUUGUAAAAAAUUAUAACUUUUUAAUUGAUGAUGUAGCGUAAUAUUAAAGUAUCAAAAUCGACAUUUUUCAAAACUAACAUGGAUUAAAAAAAAUUUCAAAGGCUAAAUUAAAAAAAAUUGAAAAGUUUCUACCUAAUUUAACUUUUUUAGGAAAGCUAUGCUAUUUUCCUAUACAUUGAUUCAAGAAAAACUAAUAUAAUAUGUAUAAAUAGAUUGUAAUUUUUUUCUAAUCCAUAUUUUUUUAUAAUGAAAAUAUCAUUUUUAAUUUUAUAUUUAAUAAUAAUUUUUGUUUAUUUAUUUUAAAAAAUCAGUAUUCAUGCAAUAGCAAUUUAAUCGAAUAUUUUAUUUAGAAUAUUGAUAAUGUCGAGCAAAAUUCUAAAGAUAUACCACAAAUGACUAUAGUGGUAAAGUAAGAAGAAGCAAGAAAAACUGCCCCACGUUUUGGGUGACCUCAAACUUUCUUUUCAGAUAUUGUUAGAUGGGAACAUAGAUAUAAUUUGUUGUAGAUGGUUACAUUCCACAAUUAUGGGGGGUGACACACCACAGCACUAGUGAUUCUUUUGUCUUUAUCAACACGUGAAGACGGGGCUUGUUAAGGUUUUAUCUUUAUGUAUUAUUCUUUUCUCUUCCUUUUCUCCUCGCGAAUCUCGUUGCCCUUUGUCCUCAACUACAACUGCGCCUAUCAAGCUGCUUUUCUUGCCUUUUGUCCUGCUUUAUCUCGCCUCCCAGAUUUUCUCUUCGCAUAUUGGAAUACCUCCUUACAUUCUCUUGUGCAUGAGCACUAUAUUUUGCUCGAUAAAAUAUCCCUAGUGAGCCUUAGACAUAGAUAUCUUAGUUCAAUUCAAGGAGUUAGAUGCCAUAAUGUUGCCUUACCUACACCAAUUCGUACGAUAUACCAAUUCAUCUAAACCUCAAUCAUAAUCUUAGGAUUAAGACAACUUACGUAUAUGAGCUAAGGCCCCAUUGAGAGAAGUAAGCAAGAGCGUUCCCACCAAAAUCAAGUGACUCCCAUCUCUUUACAUAUGACCUUUGACUAUCAUAUAGCUCUUCACCUUGCAAUAUUUUUUUGUGUAUCAACAAUGUAUUAUUAUUUAGUUCACUAAUAGUGAAUAGAACUAUACAUUAUAGGUAUACAUUCUGUGUAUCAACAAUGUAUCAUAUAAAUCCUUACAGAAAUAUGUUAUUUUUACUUCUAAACAAAAUUUUAGAAUAAAAUCAUCUUUAAUAGUUUAAUUUAAAAUUUAAGAGAUUAUCCACAUUUAUUUAUUUAUUUAUUUAUUUUUAAGAAAAAGGAAAAACAUAAAAGUAAUAUAUAUAUAUAUAUAUGUAAGUUCUACACCAGAUACUUUCAUAUCUGUAUCUUCUAUUCUCUCUCAUCUUAGAGUAAAAGUAACGUAUUCAACUCCAAAACUGAACACAUGACUACUUGAGAAAGAAAAGAAAAAAAAAACACAAAGAAUAAGAAAUGUGUAGAAAGAUUGGCAAUUGGCACAAAAUGGUUUAAAUGAAAACUUGGUCCCCACUUUUAAGUAUUUAAUUUCCCCCCUUAUCAAAUAUUUUCUUCCUUUCUCUUGCAUCAUGUACCAUGUCUUUUUUAACCCUAAAUUAAUAUCAAAUAGUUUCAUAAAAAAAAAAGACAUGGGGGAGUUUUAAUUGAUUUAAAAGUUUUGUCUUUUAAAUUUAUUUAAUUAAAUAAAACUAUUUUUGUAUUUUUUUUAUUUAUGAUUAAAUGAUGUGUUUUAAUUUGAUUGGCUCAAAAUUUUUGUAAUAGAGUAAAUGGUUGGACAAAAAUGAUAAGGAGACCAAAGUUUAAGUACUGCUUUUAAUAAAUAAAUAAAAAUGCUUAAAUACUUGAAGCUUUAAAUUGUCAAUUCUCAUAGUCCGAGUGAAUGUGGCCAAAAUUAAUUGCACCAACCUAUUUUAAUUUCUCCUCAAACUUUAAAAUAUUUUAAUUAUAUAUUUAAACUAUCCAUGCUCCGUUUUUAAAUUAAUUAAUUUAACCGUUACAUAGAACGUUAAUCUUAGUCAACAUAAUUUAAAAUAAAAAAAAUUUAAAAAUAAAUAGUGUAAAGUUGGAUGUUGUAAAAGACAACAAAUCUUACUAUAUUAAAUAUAAAAAUUUUGAUUUUGAGGUUUUCCAAGUUUUUACAAAGAGUAUCAUUCACUCUUUCUCUCUUUUUGUUUUACUUUAUUUUUAGUUUUAAAUAUUAAAAGUUAUAUGGAAAAAUUUUGCUUUUCUUUAAAAAUUUUAUAUUAAAUUAUAUGACACAUAAGAUUUUACGUGUCAUUUAAUAGUUAAAUUAACGGUUUCAAUAAUGGAAGUACCCAAUUAAUAUAAUAUUGAUAAUUUAAAGACUAAUUUAAAAUGAGUCAUAAUUUAGGGAUGUUUGAUGCAACUAACUAAUAAGUUCCACAUUUUUAAUUUUUAUAAUUAAGAUAAAUUACUAUAUUAACGUGGCAAAUGUUUUCUAGUGGCCUUCAAUUCUUUUUUUCUUUUUUUUAAGUCUAUUUGCUUUAGUUUUUUAAAAAUUAAAAUUUUUAUUAUGUAUUUCCAUAUAUAGAUAAUUUCUACUCGAAGUAAUAAUUUUAAAAAAUAAAAUAAAUGAUUUUACAUAAAAACCAUUUUUUAUGGAAAAAUAUUAAGAAUGCUUUAGUACUAAACUAUAUAUGGUUUUCUUCCCUUUUUUUUAAUUUUUUAAAAUUUUUCUAAUAAUCGAGUCAAGUGGUUUCAUGUAUUCAAUUAAGAGUUACUUUGAUUCGCGUUAGGGGUGUGCAUAAUUCGGGUAAAACCGAAAAAAUUCGGUUAAUCAACCGAAUUCAAUUAAUCGGUCGGUUAACCGAAUUUUUUCGGUCGGGAGUCGGUUAAUUUUUUUAUGAUUUUUCGGUUAACGGUUAAUUCGGUUCGAAACCGGUCGGUUAACCGAAAAUUUUCGGUUAACCGAAAAAUUAAUAAAUAAAAUUAUCCAACCCAGCCCAAACUCAAUUACCCAACCCAAUUACCCAACCCAAUAAAACUAAAACUAAAGUUUACCCAAUUACCCAAUCCAAUAAAACUAAAACUAAAAGACAACCCAAUUUACUAAAGUCUAAAACUCAAUUUACUUUAAUAAUUUAUAAAUUUUUUAAAUUUUAAAAAUAAAAAAUAAAAACAAUUUGGGUAAUUCGGGUAUUUUUCGGUAAUUCGGUUAAUUCGGGUAAUUCGGGUAAUUUUUAACCAAAAAUAAAAAAUACAUAAUUUUCGGUUAAUUCGGUUAACCGACCUUAUUAACCGAAAAAAUUUCGGUUCGGUUAAUUUUUUUUAAAAAAAAUCGGUUCGGUUAACGGUUAAAAUUUUUGGAAGGUCGGUUAACCGAAUGAACACCCCUAAUUCGCAUUCUUUCUAAAUUUAAAAUUGAGUUUUUCUACUUUUAUUCCAAAAAAAAUUAUUUUUUUAUUUUUAAAAUUUAAAAUUUUAAAUUCAAUUGUUAAUCUGUAAAAAAAAGUUAUUAAAUUUAAAUUUAUUAUAAAAUCAUUUUUUAAUUGUAUGGCUAUGAAGUGAAUUUUUUUAUUAUUUAAAAAUUUUAUAUCCAUAAAUUUAAAAAAAUUAAUAAUGUUAAUAAUUUGAAUUGAAUUUUAAAAUAGAAAUAAAUUAUUUAUGAUAUUUUAAAAUAUUAUUUCAACUUAUUUGUCUUGUUUAGGGGUGUAAACUAGUAUAUAAUGGAGGUGCGUAUUGCAAUAUCAGAACAACGACACAACACAAAACAAACCGAAACACACAAAGCUUAGCUACGUACGUACACCAUCACCAUGACUGCCAAUUCAACCCUGCUAGCAACACAAUGCGCGGCUGUUGUGGCCGUCCCACAGCGGUGCCAUCCCCCCUCUAGAUUUGCCACUGGGUACCAGCAGCUUCGUACAAAUUUGGUAACCACCAAAACAUACAAACCUACAAUCAUGGCUGCCGGUGCCUUGGUCUCCAAACCAUCCCAACUUCAUGCAAAUUUGGUACCCAAAAGAAACAAAAUGGUGGUAUUUGCCUAUCCAGAAACAAAAACAAUAGAAAUCUCAACCAAUGGCUUUCCAGAAUUCAUUAAAUGCAUAAUUAAUAACGAAAGUAAGAAAACGCUAGAACUGGAUUCGACUGAACCAUUUCUGGGGUCUGAGGAAUUUGAGAAGAUCG
rnacentral:lncRNA from 1 species